UACGGAGGGGACUAGCGUUGUUCGGAAUUACUGGGCGUAAAGCGCACGUAGGCGGAUUUGUAAGUCAGGGGUGAAAUCCCGGGGCUCAACCUCGGAACUGCCUUUGAUACUGCAAAUCUCGAGUCCGGAAGAGGUGAGUGGAAUUCCUAGUGUAGAGGUGAAAUUCGUAGAUAUUAGGAAGAACACCAGUGGCGAAGGCGGCUCACUGGUCCGGUACUGACGCUGAGGUGCGAAAGCGUGGGGAGCAAACAGG
rnacentral:rRNA from 5 species